rnacentral:sRNA from 1 species
GGGCUGCCUGCUCCCCUGCAGCGCAAAUGGCUCUUUGCUAAAGUGGUGGGAACAGCAGGCCGCCAUCUUCUAGCGGUUCAGCACUGAGUCAUGCUUGCUUCUGCUACGCACUGAUUUGUUCUAUUCCAGUUUCCACAUACAUCGUUUUGGUGACAUCUCUGCGUUAUCAUUUAUUUAUAUGGAGUGUAUUUUCUCCAAAACUUCUCUACGAGGGAAUGCAUCUGCUCAUUACAGCUGCUGUCUGUGUAUUCUUCACGGCAAUGGAUCAAACCAGACUCACACAGUCUUAGACUAAGCUGAACACUGGAAAAAUAAUACAUGCUUAAAGUCUGCUGUUAUUCUAAAAUGAAAGAUAUGAAUUCAACAAAGUUGAUGGAUAAGUUUAAUUUCUUUGACUGCUGUACCUGAAUUUAGACUAAGCAGUAAAUAGUUUAAUAAAAGAUCACUUU